UUGAUCCUGGCUCAGAACGAACGCUGGCGGCGUGGCUAAGACAUGCAAGUCGAACGGACUAUGUUAUUUAUAACGUAGUCAGUGGCGAAAGGGUGCGGAAUGAAUAGGCAAUGUACCCCAAACUUCGGGAUAGCGUCAGGAAACUUCGGUUUCCAUCCGAAAGGGGCGGUAAUACCGGAUGAUAUCAUAUUUCAUGAGUUAUAUGAUCAAAGAUUUAUCGCUUUGGGAGCGGCCUAUUCCCUAUCAGCUUGUUGGUGAGGUAACGGCUCACCAAGGCUUCGACGGGUAGCGGGACUGAGAGGUUGACCCGCCACAUUGGGACUGAGACACUGCCCAGACCCCCACGGGGGGCUGCAGUAACGAAUAUUGUGCAAUGAACGAAAGUUUGACACAGCGACGCCGCGUGUAGGAAGAAGCCUUUCGGGGUGUAAACUACUGUCAGGGAUUAGAAAGUGCGCUUCGGCGCAUUGAUCAGUCCCAGAGGAAGUCACGGCUAACUUCGUGCCAGCAGCCGCGGUAAUACGAAGGUGGCAAGCGUUGUUCGGAAUCACUGGGCUUAAAGCGCGCGUAGGCGGAAGUUCAAGUGUCCUGUGAAAUCCCCCGGCUCAACCGGGGAACUGCGGGGCAAACUGGAUUUCUUGAGGCAAGUAGGGGUACAUGGAACUCUUAGUGGAGCGGUGGAAUGCGUAGAUAUUAAGAGGAACGCCGAUGGUGAAGACAGUGUACUGGGCUUGUCCUGACGCUGAGGUGCGAAAGCGUGGGGAGCGAACGGGAUUAGAUACCCCGGUAGUCCACGCCGUAAACGAUGUCUACUAGGUUGUGGAGGUUCUGACACCCUCACAGUCGAAGCAAAAGUGUUAAGUAGACCGCCUGGGGAGUACGGUCGCAAGGCUAAAACUCAAAGGAAUUGACGGG
rnacentral:rRNA from 1 species